GCGGGAGUGGCGAAACUGGUAGACGCAUCAGGUUUAGGUCCUGACGCCGAAUACAUAAGGCGUGUCGGUUCGAGCCCGACCUUCCGCACCA
rnacentral:tRNA from 1 species